rnacentral:rRNA from 1 species
UACGAAGGGGGCGAGCGUUGUUCGGAAUUACUGGGCGUAAAGCGUGCGCAGGCGGUUUGCUAAGACAGGUGUGAAAUCCCCGGGCCUAACCUGGGAACUGCAUUUGUGACUGCAUAGCUAGAGUCUGUCAGAGGGGGGGUGGAAUUCCACGUGUAGCAGUGAAAUGCGUAGAGAUGUGGAGGAACACCGAUGGCGAAGGCAGCCCCCCUGGGAUAAGACUGACGCUCAUGUACGAAAGCGUGGGGAGCAAACAGG